rnacentral:rRNA from 1 species
GAUGAACGCUGGCGGCGUGCCUAAUACAUGCAAGUCGAGCGAACAGACGAGGAGCUUGCUCCUCUGACGUUAGCGGCGGACGGGUGAGUAACACGUGGAUAACCUACCUAUAAGACUGGGAUAACUUCGGGAAACCGGAGCUAAUACCGGAUAAUAUAUUGAACCGCAUGGUUCAAUAGUGAAAGACGGUUUUGCUGUCACUUAUAGAUGGAUCCGCGCCGCAUUAGCUAGUUGGUAAGGUAACGGCUUACCAAGGCAACGAUGAGUAGCCGACCUGAGAGGAUGAUCAGCCACACUGGAACUGAGACACGGUCCAGACUCCUACGGGAGGCAGCAGUAGGGAAUCUUCCGCAAUGGGCGAAAGCCUGACGGAGCAACGCCGCGUGAGUGAUGAAGGUCUUCGGAUCGUAAAACUCUGUUAGUAGGGAAGAACAAAUGUGUAAGUAACUAUGCACGUCUUGACGGUACCUAAUCAGAAAGCCACGGCUAACUACGUG